rnacentral:rRNA from 1 species
UUAAGUGACUAAGCGUACACGGUGGAUGCCUAGGCAGUCAGAGGCGAUGAAGGGCGUGCUAAUCUGCGAAAAGCGUCGGUAAGGUGAUAUGAACCGUUAUAACCGGCGAUACCCGAAUGGGGAAACCCAGUGUGUUUCGACACACUAUCAUGUCAUGAAUACAUAGUGGCAUGAGGCGAACCGGGGGAACUGAAACAUCUAAGUACCCCGAGGAAAAGAAAUCAACCGAGAUUCCCCCAGUAGCGGCGAGCGAACGGGGAGGAGCCCAGAACCUGAAUCGGCUUGUGUGUUAGUGGAAGCGUCUGGAAAGUCGCGCAGUAAAGGGUGAUAGCCCCGUACACUAAAAUACACAGGUCGUGAGUUCGAUGAGUAGGGCGGGACACGUGACAUCCUGUCUGAAUAUGGGGGGACCAUCCUCCAAGGCUAAAUACUCCUGACUGACCGAUAGUGAACCAGUACCGUGAGGGAAAGGCGAAAAGAACCCCGGCGAGGGGAGUGAAAUAGAACCUGAAACCGUGUACGUACAAGCAGUGGGAGCACCUUCGUGGUGUGACUGCGUACCUUUUGUAUAAUGGGUCAGCGACUUAUAUUUUGUAGCAAGGUUAACCGUAUAGGGGAGCCGUAGGGAAACCGAGUCUUAACUGGGCGACUAGUUGCAAGGUAUAGACCCGAAACCCGGUGAUCUAGCCAUGGGCAGGUUGAAGGUUGGGUAACACUAACUGGAGGACCGAACCGACUAAUGUUGAAAAAUUAGCGGAUGACUUGUGGCUGGGGGUGAAAGGCCAAUCAAACCGGGAGAUAGCUGGUUCUCCCCGAAAGCUAUUUAGGUAGCGCCUCGUGAACUCAUCUUCGGGGGUAGAGCACUGUUUCGGCUAGGGGGCCAUCCCGGCUUACCAAACCGAUGCAAACUCCGAAUACCGAAGAAUGUUAUCACGGGAGACACACGGCGGGUGCUAACGUCCGUCGUGAAGAGGGAAACAACCCAGACCGCCAGCUAAGGUCCCAAAGUCAUGGUUAAGUGGGAAACGAUGUGGGAAGGCAUAGACAGCCAGGAUGUUGGCUUAGAAGCAGCCAUCAUUUAAAGAAAGCGUAAUAGCUCACUGGUCGAGUCGGCCUGCGCGGAAGAUGUAACGGGGCUAAACCAUGCACCGAAGCUGCGGCAGCGACGCUUAGGCGUUGUUGGGUAGGGGAGCGUUCUGUAAGCCGUUGAAGGUGGCCUGUGAGGGUUGCUGGAGGUAUCAGAAGUGCGAAUGCUGACAUAAGUAACGAUAAAGCGGGUGAAAAGCCCGCUCGCCGGAAGACCAAGGGUUCCUGUCCAACGUUAAUCGGGGCAGGGUGAGUCGACCCCUAAGGCGAGGCUGAAAAGCGUAGUCGAUGGGAAACAGGUUAAUAUUCCUGUACUUGGUGUUACUGCGAAGGGGGGACGGAGAAGGCUAGGCUGGCCGGGCGACGGUUGUCCCGGUUUAAGCGUGUAGGGGGUGUGACCUGGUAAAUCCGGUUGCAUAUCAACCCUGAGGCGUGAUGACGAUGCACUACGGUGCAGAAGUAGUUGAUGCCCUGCUUCCAGGAAAAUCCUCUAAGCUCCAGGUAACAUUAAAUCGUACCCCAAACCGACACAGGUGGUCAGGUAGAGAAUACCAAGGCGCUUGAGAGAACUCGGGUGAAGGAACUAGGCAAAAUGGUGCCGUAACUUCGGGAGAAGGCACGCUGGCAUGUAGGUGAAGUCCCUCGCGGAUGGAGCUGAAGCCAGUCGAAGAUACCAGCUGGCUGCAACUGUUUAAUAAAAACACAGCACUGUGCAAACACGAAAGUGGACGUAUACGGUGUGACGCCUGCCCGGUGCUGGAAGGUUAAUUGAUGGGGUCAGCCGCAAGGCGAAGCUCUUGAUCGAAGCCCCAGUAAACGGCGGCCGUAACUAUAACGGUCCUAAGGUAGCGAAAUUCCUUGUCGGGUAAGUUCCGACCUGCACGAAUGGCGUAAUGAUGGCCAGGCUGUCUCCACCCGAGACUCAGUGAAAUUGAACUCGCUGUGAAGAUGCAGUGUACCCGCGGCAAGACGGAAAGACCCCGUGAACCUUUACUAUAGCUUGACACUGAACAUUGAGCCUUGAUGUGUAGGAUAGGUGGGAGGCUUUGAAGCGUGGACGCCAGUCUGCGUGGAGCCAUCCUUGAAAUACCACCCUUUAAUGUUUGAUGUUCUAACUCGGCCCCGUGAUCCGGGGUGAGGACAGUGUCUGGUGGGUAGUUUGACUGGGGCGGUCUCCUCCCAAAGAGUAACGGAGGAGCACGAAGGUUAGCUAAUCACGGUCGGACAUCGUGAGGUUAGUGCAAAGGCAUAAGCUAGCUUGACUGCGAGAGUGACGGCUCGAGCAGGUACGAAAGUAGGUCUUAGUGAUCCGGUGGUUCUGAAUGGAAGGGCCAUCGCUCAACGGAUAAAAGGUACUCCGGGGAUAACAGGCUGAUACCGCCCAAGAGUUCAUAUCGACGGCGGUGUUUGGCACCUCGAUGUCGGCUCAUCACAUCCUGGGGCUGAAGUAGGUCCCAAGGGUAUGGCUGUUCGCCAUUUAAAGUGGUACGCGAGCUGGGUUUAGAACGUCGUGAGACAGUUCGGUCCCUAUCUGCCGUGGGCGCUGGAAGAUUGAGAGGGGUUGCUCCUAGUACGAGAGGACCGGAGUGAACGCACCACUGGUGUUCGGGUUGUCAUGCCAAUGGCAUUGCCCGGUAGCUAAGUGCGGAAAAGAUAAGCGCUGAAAGCAUCUAAGCGCGAAACUUGCCUCAAGAUGAGUCUUCCCUGGGCCUUUAAGGCCCCUGAAGGAACGUUUAAGACUAAGACGUUGAUAGGCUGGGUGUGUAAGUGCAGCGAUGCAUUGAGCUAACCAGUACUAAUGAUCCGUGAGGCUUAACCUU